GUCUGCAAGUAGUGAUGGUAAUGUUGACACAGAUGCAGAUGAAAGAAUAUUUCCUGGUUGUCCAUUGAUGUUAAAUUUGAGUGCAGUCCUUAUAAUGGAGUUCCUAGUUCACCAUAAGAUACCUCAGAAGGCUGCUGAAGAUAUAGUCGAGCUUCUUACUGCUCACUUUCCGCCAGGGCAUAGAAUGUUUACAUCACUAUACAGGCUCAAGUCUCACUGGAGGAAGCAAUCUGCCAUGUCUAAAUAUGAAAAGAGAUUUGUUUGCUCUAACUGUGACACCAUAAUGCGAGAGGAUGAGCAACACUGUGGACAUCCUGAGUGCCUUGGUGUGUGUCGACCUCUUGAGUUUCUAGUCCUUAAUAUUGAACUGCUCAUGGACAGUUAUUCCGUGACCUUGCUUUUUGCUCUCAUCUGCUAAGAAAUUUUGAGGAGCAAUCACUGUUUUCUGACAUCACCAGUGGGUCUAGCUACAGGUAUAUCACUAGGAUUGGGUGCACCCAGACACCUUGGAAUAUAACACUGACUUUCUAAACACUGAUGAAGUUUCUAUUUUCAAAACAUCCUUACAACCUUACAGUGAAUGAGCUCUCACCUAAAUAUUGGUAUUCUUUGAAGUAUGUCGUCUCGUAUGAUUUGUGGUCUCAGCCUUGGAAGCCACCUAGUCAAGCUUUUCUUGAGCCUCUCAUCCAGCAAAUUGGUGUGCUUUCAAGUGAAGGUGCUCUAUUUGAGACUGCUAGAGGAAUGCAGCAUUGUAGAGCUCGGCUUGUCUUGGUGACAUGUGACCUCCCAGCUAGGGCAAUGCUACUGUGCAUAAAAAUGCUAAUGGAAUUGCUGCAUGUUGCUAUUGUUACCAUCCUGGAAUGACCAUUGGAGAUGACCAUCUACAUCGGUACUGGCCGGACGAUGGUACUUUAGAGAGAAGAACGCAUGAAUCUAUGAAACAAAUGUUAUAACUGCAACAGCAACUAACUCAGCAAUACGUGUAGUUUUUUGUUUCUUUUUUAUUGCGUUGUUACUUUAUGCAUUAUUUUGCAGUGUUGUGGUAUGCUUCCUGUGGUUUCUCCCUUAAUAGCAGCACUGGGUUUCAACAUGGUUGACAAUGUUACAAUUGAUUAUAUGCAUGUAGUGUGUCUUGGCAUUGUUCGGGCACUUCUUGAUAUGUGGUUGACUCAACGAUCUGAAUCUUACUUUAUUGGUGAUAAGGUUGUGUUUCUGGAUAGACGCCUUCUUUCCAUAUGUCCACCGAUUGUUAUCAAUCGCAGUCCACACACUAUGAAGGAAUUCUAUACUUGGAAAGCUAAUGAGCUUUGCUCCUGACUCUUCCAUUGGUCACUGCCUGUCUUAGGUGGAGUUCAUCCAACAGAAUACUUUGCCCAUUUUUCUUUGCUGGUGAUUGGUUGCCGAUUGCUUUGUCAAAGUUAUAUAUCAAGAGAGCAAAUAGAAGAGGCUCGUAAACUGCUGCUGAAGUUUUAUUAAAUUUAUAAAGUUUUAUAUGGUAUAUACGUGUCUCGUAUUAAUUGCUGUGUUUAAGCUAUACCAUGCCUGUCAUUCUCUGAUUCAUUGGAAUGAGUACAUACAUCCUAAUACAUUUAUCUUAUCUUUUGAACUCUGACCUUCUCUUUAUAUAUAGGCACAAAAGCAGUGACUAUGAAAGUACACCUUCUGAAGCAUUUGCCGGAUGUUGUAGAGAAGUGGGGUGCUUUGUGGGGUCAUUCCUGCUUUUGGUAUGAAUCCCUAAAUGGAGUUCUUAAAAGCUUUGUACAUGGCACACGAUUUGUUUGCAGCCAGGUUGCAUCAGUUGUUAUGAUCAUUUAAGACCAUUUCAGAUGUGCUACCAUCACUGACUGACCAGCUAUUAGCACCACCUGUAGUUCGUUUGGCUACAAAAUUUGGACUGAUAUGGUUCCCUUUUGAAGUGGAAGAUUCUGUGAAAGUUUUUUGUCUACCGGGUCUGUUCGUUGACCCAAUCAAUGUUGUUUUGAGGAGGCUUGGCAAUGAGGAACUUUGUUGUGGUUUGCUUGUCAAAACUGUUGGGAGACUGAAACUAGCUGGUCAUGUGAUACAAUCAAGAAAAGUCACGUGACAAAGAAAAAUUCUUAUUCUGUUGAAUUUACUGAAUGUCAUGAAGAACAGCCGUUGUUUGGUUAUGUAUUACUCUUUAUCAUUUUUGGAUGUGAAUGGUUUGCUGUUAUUCAAUGGCUUAAAAUGGAGGAGUGGCCAUUAUUGCAUAAUGACAAUGACUGCAUGACUGAUGUUGUUGAUGCUUACAGUAAUCUUCAGGAGCUGAUCGGAAAGCGUUUACUUCUCGUUCAAGAGACUCAGGACCUGGUAGCAAUUGUUGUAGGAGAUAUCACAGCUCAAGUAGUCUGUAUGAAAAUGUUAGGUUCAAGCUGUAUUUUUGUGUCUCGAUUUCCUAACAUUAUUGAGUGUGAUUGAGUUGUGAAAUACUCAAGAAAUGGUCUUCA